GAUGAAGAACGCAGCGAAAUGCGAUAAGUAAUGUGAAUUGCAGAAUUCAGUGAAUCAUCGAAUCUUUGAACGCACCUUGAGCCCUUUGGCCAUUCCGAAGGGCAUGCCUGUUUGAGUAUCAUGAACACCUCAACUCUCAUGGCUCGCCAUGAUGAGCUUGGACUUUGGGGGUCUUGCUGGCCUGUGGUCGGCUCCUCUCAAAUGGAUCAGCUUGCCAGUGUUUGGUGGCAUCACAGGUGUGAUAACUAUCUGCGCUUGUGGUUUUCCAUCAGAUAACCUUCAGUGAUGGAGGUUCGCUGGAGCUCAUAAGCGUCUCCCCUAAGCGGGGACAGCCCUUUGAAUGUUUGAUCUCAAAUCAGGUAGGACUAUCCGCUGAACUUGAGUAUAUCAAUAAGCGGAUGA
rnacentral:misc_RNA from 1 species